ensembl:lncRNA
UCUCACCGUGGCCCUGUGUGUGCGGAGUUUGCAUGUUCUCCCCGUGCUGCGGGGGUUUCCUCCGGGUACUCCGGUUUCCUCCCCCAGUACAAAGACAUGCACGGUAGGCUGAUCGGCGUGUCCAAAGUGUCCGUAGUGUAUGAACGGGUGUGUGAGUGUGUAUGUGAUUGUGCCCUGCGAUGGAUUGGCACCCUGUCCAGGGGAGCAUCGGGUACAAGGCGGGGUACACCCUGGACAGGGUGCCAGUCCAUCGCAGGGCACAAUCACAUACACACUCACACACCCAUUCAUACACUACGGACACUUUAGACACGCCGAUCAGCCUACCGUGCAUGUCUUUGGACUGGGGGAGGAAACCUGAGUACCCGGAGGAAAC